GGGGGUACGGCCUACCNGNCGACGACGGGUAGCUGGUCCUGAGAGGACGACCAGCCACACUGGAACUGAGAUACGGUCCAGACUCCUACGGGAGGCAGCAGUGGGGAAUAUUGCACAAUGGGCGAAAGCCUGAUGCAGCGACGCCGCGUGAGGGAUGACGGCCCUCGGGUUGUAAACCUCUUUCGGCAGGGACGAAGCGAAAGUGACGGUACCUGCAGAAGAAGCCCCGGCUAACUACGUGCCAGCAGCCGCGGUAAGACGUAGGGGGCGAGCGUUGUCCGGAUUCAUUGGGCGUAAAGCGCGCGUAGGCGGCUAUGCAAGUCGGUUGUGAAAUCCCAGGGCUCAACCCCGGGACUGCGUCCGAUACUGUAUGGCUAGAGGUAGGUAGGGGAGAUCGGAAUUCCUGGUGUAGCGGUGAAAUGCGCAGAUAUCAGGAGGAACACCGGUGGCGAAGGCGGAUCUCUGGGCCUUACCUGACGCUCAGGCGCGAAAGCUAGGGGAGCGAACAGGAUUAGAUACCCUGGUAGUCCUAGCCGUAAACGUUGGGUGCUAGGUGUGGGCGGAUAUCAACCCCGUCCGUGCCGAAGCUAACGCAUUAAGCACCCCGCCUGGGGAGUACGGCCGCAAGGCUAAAACUCANAGGAAUUGACG
rnacentral:rRNA from 1 species